UAUUGAUUUACCUUUCAUUUUGAGACUCUCUAUGCAUGGUAAAGGUGCAUAUCUAGAUAUUAUAAGAGCAUCUUUAGUAUACUAAAUUUACAUUUGUUGACAAAGAAAUUAAAAUAGAUCAACGUUUCAUUUCAUUGUGCUAAUCUUGUUCAUCCUUUCAAUAUUCGUAGCACUGUUCAUUGGGCAAAUUUCACUUCUAGGUCCCUCGAGUUUUAUAUCCUUUUCGACUUGAUCGUUCAACUUUAUUUUGUUUCAAAUUGUCCUUAAAAGUUAUGUUGUCCUGCCACAUGUUUUUUUAUUUCCUUCAGAUUGCAUGCUAUCACAUGUCCAAGGUGUCAAAUAAUGUUCUAGCAUUAAAUGAGAGGUCAAAUUUAUAGGAUGGGAAUUUUAGUUAUUGUAAAUAAAACAAUUAAAGAAACAAAGAUCAAAAUUAACAUUAACUAAAAAAAAUAACAACUUUUUUCCCAUCUUUGUUUUUCAAAGGUGCAUAAAACUACACUUUCAUCCUUCAAUUUUUUAUUUUUUAUAGUUGGUCUUUGCUAAAAUUUAUUUUUUUAAUUUUUCAUUCCUUGGAUCUUGAGAGAGGUGAGAGAAAGUCGUUGUUAAGAGAGAGGAGAGAGAAAGGGUUUAGUUGGCCACAUUCCGAUAACAAAAAAGGCCGAUGUUCAUGUUAAUGGGUUCAUCUUGGAAAGGGAGUUCAAUGGUGGUGGUGUUUCCUUUUGAACAUGCUGAAAAAAGUAGAUUGGAGCCUGCAAAGUUUUUUAAACUCAGUUUUUAGAGUGAUUGGGGUUGAAAAUGGGUUUAUUGAGUUUUCUUUGAUGUUAAUUAGGUGUUUUCAGGUUAAAACAAAUUGAAAAUUGAGUUUUUGGGGUCCAAAAACCCAAUUCCUGAUUUUCGGUGAUCGGAGAAGGUAACAGUGAACAACAUGUCAUUUGCCUAGACAAUGAUGUGUUGUCUGCUCAAUUUAGAAAAAAAAUACAAUCGUCAUCCACUUUUUUUUUUAAAAAAAAGGGAAACCAAGGGUGCGAGCCUGGGCUUUUGCCUUUUAGGCUAGCAUGCAGGCUCGUCUUCCUUGCCCAGUAGCCCUGACUUUUGUUUUCAAUUGUUUUAAUUAAUAUGCUAUGUCAUUUUUU